ACAAGUACUCCUGUUCUUUUUAAUGUAAUCAGAGGGACUUCUGAUGGUUGUAAAUGGUUCCAAUUCUUUCUUAUCAUCAUGAGCAUAUUGUUUUAGCUAUUAGGCCAUGGAGCUAGUGAUUUGGCUUGUGACUUCUGGCACCCAUGGCUCAGCUUGCACAGCAGAAUGUAUGGCAUAUUCUUGAUGCAUUCUAUACCUGAUCUGGACACAUUUGUAAUUUAAUCACAAAGCUGCUCUCUCCUUUUUACUAUCAAUUUUCUUUAUUAUGCAGAAUAAAAUAAAAUUUUCAGUGCCCCCAUUGAGGGGCCUGACUGGGGACAACAGCAUAAUGAUUGCAAUGGAUAACAAACAGCAUGAAAGUACAAAGCUAACUUUUGUUGCUUGUUAGUGUUUGUUUUUACUUGCAUUUUGUUUGUAAGAAUUUCCUGUGUAGACUUUGUGAUGUGCUAAGCCUGUGUUCUAUGAAUUUAGAUUUCGCAGGCUUCCUUCUUCCUAUGCUGUAGAGCUCAUCACAAUCUCCAUCUGGCAGCUGGCAGGAAAGCCAGUCUUUUUCAGUCUGGUUCAGGGAAUGAGAGCUAUCCUGAAGCUUCUGGUUAGAUACCCAGAAAUGUGCAUUGUUUGGCACAAACACUACAGCCCAAACUCUAAAAUUUUCAAAAAGGUGAUCCAGAAGCAAACCAGGCCAUUUGUUUUAGAUCCUGCAAAUGCAACAUUUAAUGUGUGUGAGAACAGCAAUGCUUGGGAUGAAGUGGCUCAUGUGGUGAGAUGGAGCCUCCUUAAGCCUCUUUUUAAUGAUGUGCAAGCAAAGGAGCCCUGGCUUUUUACAAAUGGCUGGUAAAAAAAAACAAAACAAAAAACAACCAGGCUAACACUUUCUCUGAAGUCCUGUCAAAUAGGUUUGCCAAGGCAUAUGAGACAAGACUGCCAAUAGGAAUAUUCCAAUAUAAAGAAAUGUAAAUAAAAACCAGUGGAGUGUGUGUUGUUUUCUCUCUAAUCUACUUAACAAACAAUUCUUUGUCAUUACUUCUGAAUGAACUCGAGUCACAGGAUUAAAUCGUUGGUUACAUUUUUAUCCCUGUGUGAGGGACGAAGCUGAAAGAUAUGCUUCCUUAUAUUUGUAAAGAGUUCAAGCACCAGAGCAAAGAGGGCAACAUUUCACAGCUCCUACAACUUCCUUCCUUCACAGCUCACUAGGGAAGCACUGGAAUUCCAUAAAAUGCUUGAGCAUUGUUUACUUAAAAAAGGCCCAUAGAAAGAACUCGCUUGUUACACAGUAAGAUGACUAUAACUCCAUAACAUCUGGCAAAUCACUAGGUUGCAAUAGAUAAAUGCUGGAAGGCUCUACACUAGGCUGUCUCUCAAUACAUCAUUUAUUUCCAGAAGUUAUGGCUGAUGACAUAUCUUCUGAGUAUAAGAUGAAGGGGAGGUCUGAAAGAUGAUGAAGAAUAGAGAUAAAUUAUGUAUCCAGUCUCUACCCAUUGUAUGGUCUAUGGAAGCCCUAACCAUUUUAGUCUGUAAUGAUAGACUCUUUUAUAUACAGUUGCAACAUAAGUAAUUGGGGCUACAGCACAAAGACCCCACCUGAAGGGGAGUUGGAAAGACUGCAUUUUUUAUUGGAAUGAUGGUUCUGCAGUGGUAGCUACUAACAGGAGAAACAGCAUGGAGUAUGGGACCUGAUCCUACAAGGUGCUGGAGCAUCAUCAGCACCUCCCAGGGCUCAGGCUAGUGCUGAGGAAGAAACACAACUGACACAGAACAGGAGGGAAAUAGAAGUGGGAAAGUAGUCAGCAUCAA